CCAGUGAGCGGCGGACGGGUGAGUAACACGUGGGCAACCUGCCCUGAAGCGGGGGAUAACAUUUGGAAACAGGUGCUAAUACCGCAUAACAACGAAAACCACAUGGUUUUCGUUUCAAAGAUGGUUUCGGCUAUCACUUCAGGAUGGGCCCGCGGUGCAUUAGCUUGUUGGUAGGGUAACGGCCUACCAAGGCAAUGAUGCAUAGCCGAGUUGAGAGACUGAUCGGCCACAAUGGAACUGAGACACGGUCCAUACUCCUACGGGAGGCAGCAGUAGGGAAUCUUCCACAAUGGGCGCAAGCCUGAUGGAGCGACACCGCGUGAGUGAAGAAGGGUUUCGGCUCGUAAAGCUCUGUUGUUGAAGAAGAACGUGCGUGAGAGCAACUGUUCACGCAGUGACGGUAUUCAACCAGAAAGUCACGGCUAACUACGUGCCAGCAGCCGCGGUAAUACGUAGGUGGCAAGCGUUAUCCGGAUUUAUUGGGCGUAAAGCGAGCGCAGGCGGUUGCUUAAGUCUGAUGUGAAAGCCUUCGGCUUAACCGAAGAAGUGCAUCGGAAACUGAGCGACUUGAGUGCAGAAGAGGACAGUGGAACUCCAUGUGUAGCGGUGGAAUGCGUAGAUAUAUGGAAGAACACCAGUGGCGAAGGCGGCUGUCUGGUCUGCAACUGACGCUGAGGCUCGAAAGCAUGGGUAGCGAACAGGAUUAGAUACCCUGGUAGUCCAUGCCGUAAACAAUGAGUGCU
rnacentral:rRNA from 1 species